rnacentral:rRNA from 1 species
CGUGUAGGCGGCAAUGUAAGUCAGACGUGAAAUCCUUUGGCUCAACUGAAGAACUGCGUCUGAAACUGCAUGGCUAGAGUGCAGAAGAGGGAAACGGAAUUCCAGGUGUAGAGGUGAAAUUCGUAGAUAUCUGGAGGAACACCGGUGGCGAAGGCGGUUUCCUGGUCUGACACUGACGCUGAGGCGCGAAAGCGUGGGGAGCAAACAGGAUUAGAUACCCUGGUAGUCCAACGCCGUAAACGGUGGGUACUGGGUGUGGGAGGUGUAAUGCCUUCUGUGCCGAAGCUAACGCGUUAAGUACCCGCCUGGGGAGUACGGCCGCAAGGUUGAA